GGCCAGGCCUUUCUUUUAGCUAGUGUCUUUUUUUUUAAAUUUAUUCAUUUUUAUUUGAAAGUCAGAGUUACACACAGAGAGAGAGAGAGAGGUCCUCCAUCCAUUGGUUCACUUCCCAAUUGGCCGCAACGGCCAGAGCUGCGCCUAUCCGAAGCCAGGAGCCAGGAGCUUCUUCCAGGUCUCCCAUGUGGGUGCAGGGGCCCAAGUACUCGGGCUAUCCUCCACUUCUAUCCCAGGCCACAGCAGAGAGCUGGCCCAGAAGAGGAGCAGCUGGGACCAGAACCGGCGCCCAUAUGGGAUGCCAGUGCUUCAGGCCAGGGCGUCAACCUGCAGCGCCAUAACGCCGGCCCCAAUGCUAAUGUUUUCAAGUUUGUGUCCCACAGGCUGUUAUUUGAAAAUAGUAUCAUGAGGAAAGUCAGUUUUUAGGAAACACUGGGUUAAAUAAAAAAAAGAUAAAAUGGUUUCUUUUGUGUGGGCCACUAAGGGUUUGAUAAACUGUUGCUCAUUGUUGAGCUGCAAGAGGGAAAUAUGGAACAGUGUUUACUAAAUCUAUUUGAUCAUUGCAAAAUGUUCCCAGAAACAUACUCUGGAAAUGUUCUUUUGAGCUAUUUAGUAUUAAGCCUUAUGAUUACAGUUAUAGAAAGUUUGCUUACUUUUCAAAAAGCUCUUAAUCUGUCCUUUUCCAUAUAUAUCAGAUAAGUCAGUGUGUUGCCUUGUCUCCACUGUAUUUUCCUCUCUUUAAGGAUAUGGGUUAGAGAACCGUGGACCUACUCAAAGUGAGUUCAAAGCUAGAGUGACCCAGCCAGGUGCAAGUGGUUAAGUGGUUGAGAAAGCAGAUAUUUAGACAGGCCAGGAAAUUGGCAUAGUCAAAGCUGUGGUAACUGCCAGCCAUGAUUGCAUACUUUUCUAGGAAGAAAGUCAAGACAAGAUGAGUAGAUAAGGCAUGACUGAAGUUUAAUCAAAUUGGGAAUGAAAUUGCAAACAAUGUAGUCUCUUGGAGAAGCUGGGUUGCAGUACUCCAGUACUCCACCAUAGAGAGGAACAGAGUUUUAAUACUUUGCCUGGUAUUUGAAACAAAAGCCUCUUAAUUUUUUUUUUAAUUUCUCAGAUUGUUUUCCUCCAAUUAGGUCCACAUAGAUUGUUUAAUAGUGUGGACAGUUGGGGCCUUUAAGAAGUGCCAGGAUUAAUGCCACUCUGAGACUGGGUUUAUUGUAGUUCAGCCCUCAUUUGCUCUCUUGCCCAUGCUUGCUUGCUUUUCUACCAUGACAUGCAGCAGGAAGUCCCUCACCAGAUGUAGCCCCCGCCCCCCCAUCAUGGACUUCCCAGCCUCCAGAGCAAGAGACAAAUAAACUUUGAUUGUUUUAUAAUUUACCCAGUCUGUGGAAUUCUGUUACAGCAGCACAAAAUUAACUAAGCACCCACUUUCUAUUCCAGACAGAAAGAAAAGACACUCCCACAAGAUUUUUCUUGUCUUGAGAAGGGAUGCUGUUCCCAGGCAUAUCUAUCUAUAUCUUACUGGCCAGCACAGGAUGACAUAGCUUCCCUUAGUUGCAAUAGAUGUAGGGGAAGUGAAUGUAUCUACAUAUUAACCUGGAAACAUUGAUAAUCAUCUCCAAAAAUAUUGGAAUUCUGUUGGCAAUAGAAAAUGUGAGAAUACGUGGUGGCAAGUGAUGAGAAAUUUCUGUCAUAUGCUUCUGUAGAAAGCAUUAGAUAAUACAGGGAAGCAUCUCAUUUCUUUUUGUUCUGUUUAUUUAUUUCCUUUCUUCUGGUCAAUGCCUCAUUUGAAAAUAGAGCCUUUCUUGGCCUUCCAUCAGAUAGUUAAAGUAAUUCCCAAGAUAUGUCCUUAUAUUUGAGCUUUCUGGUACAAAAAACUUGCAGAAAACAUUUUUCCUAGGAGAUUUUAGAAUUCCUAAGAUAGAAGCUUUAAGAAAAAAAUGUAAAUAAGGUUUCAGGGCAGAAAUUGAAAAUGGUUUCAUGACAUACUGUCAGCAUUUUAUUUGGGUCACAAAACAGGCCACGUCCUGUCUUCUGAAAGCCCUACACUUCUCAAAUCACUGCCCUGUAACCUAGUGCAUGGAAAUGCACUCAUCCAGUGCCACAAAGGCAGCAGCCUCCCUCUCCUAAGUGCGUGGCUUUUCGUUAAUGGCUGUAGACACUGAUUGCAGGGCCUGAUCCUGUUCAUCAUUGUCAUAAUCACCAUGGAUUACAUUUUUGAGUGCCCACAGGGGGCAUGGCACUGUGUUCUGCAUAAUGUUUACUGUCCUAUUUCUGCUUCCAAAUCAUUAGAUGUUUUGUUCACACUGAGCUUAUCUCUGAUUGCUAGCAACACUGUCCACUGCUGUCAAACAAUGACACUUAGAUCUUUUUACACUGUGGAUGUUCCCUGAACAAAUCUGAUGAAAAAGUGAUUUUACCACUUUUUAGCUGUUUUUCGUUAUUAAGAGAUUUAGUCAACAUGCAUGCUAGUAGGUACUAUUUUCUUCAUUAUAUAGAGUAAUGAUGGCAUUGCUGAGUUCAAAGUUUGUCAGUACCUCAGAAUUUGGAAUAAAAGGCAAGAACUAAUAUUUUUUAGUCCCGGGAAUAGUAUAGAAUGUUUUAUAUUUGAUUCUUAAGUUAUCCUGCUGAAGGAAUAAUUAGUACAUAAAUUUAUAGAGGAAGUAGCAGAUGACAAAAUAAAAUGGAGAUGUUGCUGAAAGUCACCCAGCUGUCAAAAGAUCAAAAGUAAACUUGAACCUGGGUUCUAGUUUCAUUAUCUUUUACUUACAAUAUAUUACCUUUAAUAAAUGUUAUACUAUCGUGCUCUCUUUGGCAGCACAUACAAUCGAUGCUACGCUAUGCUAUUUACUAUGGGUAUUUUUAACAUGCCACCAUGGUGCUGUUCUUUAUUCUUUAUAACCACUGCAUGAGAUAAGUGCUAUACCAUUUUUUGGCAAAGGAAAUAAAGACUGCCAUCUUUGAAUUUAGUCCCAUCGAUUUACUUAUUAUUAGGAUUACUUAAAAGAAACUUGGCAUGCAAUUAAUAAUUUCAAUUAAACUGUUUGCUUGCAUAUGUUUUGAUAUACUUCAUCAGGAAUAUAUUUUACACAUGACUGAAUGGUAGAAUCAGCCUUUUAAAACCAUAGCCAAGAUGGGCACCACGGCUCACUAGGCUAAUCCUUCACCUUGCGGCGCCAGCACACCAGGUUCUAGUCCCAGUCGGGGCGCCGGAUUCUGUCCCGGUCGCCCCUCUUCCAGGCCAGCUCUCUGCUGUGGUCUGGGAGUGCAGAGGAGGAUGGCCCAGGUGCUUGGGCCCUGCACCCGCAUGGGAGACCAGGAGAAGCACCUGGCUCCUGCCAUCGGAUCAGCGCGGUGUGCCGGCCGCAGCGCACCGGCCGCGGCGGCCAUUGGAGAGUGAACCAAUGGUAAAGGAAGACCUUUCUCUCUGUCUCUCUCUCUCACUGUCCACUCUGCCUGUCAAAAAAAAAAAAAAAAAAAAAAAAAAAAAAAAAAAAAAAACAUAGCCAAAUUUCACUACCACAAGACCACUGUUAUAAUGUGGCUUUGCACUGAUGUAAUCAGCAACAAAAACUGAAAAGAACUGAUCAGAGUCUGGCAGAGAGGACAAAAUUAACUUGUCUCUCAUCUGGAAUUUUGUGUGAAGACCUCAUAUAAGAAAGGAAAGUCUAAGCUGGUGUGCACUUGCAUUUCUCUUUGACUCAUUUCAAUAUCAAGUAAUGAUUGUUGUUUACUUAUCACCAGAAGUGGGAUUUGUUAUUACUUUGUACCUCAAACUCAUUGGUUUUUCUGUUUAUCAUGAUAACCACAUGUAUACAUUGCUUCACAAUUUUCCAAGCAUUCUACUUUUACAAUGUGGGACUGUAGCUAUCUUCUUCCUAUAGUGUUCCCAGCAUCUGGUUUAGAGCCUGCCAUGUAAUGUCUGACUAAAACAAGUUAAGUGAAUCAGAGAAAAGUGAAAAAUAUUCUAAUAUUUGAUGCUCAUGAUAUUAUUCCUGUUAGACUUUUGUGGAAAGAAAAUAAUCAGAUUAAUUAAAUAUUUUAUAAGGUCACAGAAACGAUAAGCAAUAGUGCUAAGACUUUAACCAGAUUUUCUGACUUGAGAACCAUUAUCGUUUUUCUUACUCAAGGCUGCUUACUUCUUGUGUUAAAGAUGUGCAAAUUUUGUUUUUGUUGUUGUUAUUUGUUUUGUUUUGUUUUGUUUUGUUUUUUAAUAGCAGUGAGACAUGGCCAGGGCUGGAACCUGGAGCUAGGAAUACAAUCCAAGUCUCCCACAUGGGUGUUAGGAAAGCAAUUACUUGAGCCAUCAUCACUUCCUCCUUGGUCUGUGUUGGCAGGAAGCUGGAAUCAAGAGCUGGAGCCAAGUAUUGAACCCAGAUACUGCAAUGCGGGAUAUGUCUUUAUUGUUAGUCUGAAUGUUUGCCCCAAGCACUGUGCCAAGUUUUUACUGCUGACCUAUCCAGUCACAAUUUUUAGAAGACUUUCUUAUGAAUACUUCAUACUUUAUCACUUUUAUGAUAUUUAAGACUAUAAAACAGCACUAAACCUUCUGAGCACAAAAACACCAUAAAGGCCAACUGAGAAAACUGGUAGUUUUAAUAUGCAUCUAUAGAGGAUUAGGGUCCCCAUGAACCUUCUGGGGCAUCUCCUGGGAGUUUUGUGGGAUACUGUUUUCCAAAACUAUUCAGAACUUCCACAAAGUUAGGAUUACUUUUGUGCUGCAUAGGCAAGUAUGUUAUCUGCAGCCUCUCAUUUCUAAAGUCCAAGGAAAGAAAAUAGUGAUGGAAGCUUUCUCUGGGGGCUUUGUCUACAGAAAGAAAGCUCACUUAUCACAAACAAACCCUUUAUAAGAGAGCAACAAUUUUGUUGGCUACAUUUAAAGACAGAAACACACAGUUCCCAAAUGCAAUUUCACUUUUUCCAAAGGACAGUCUUAUUCGUUUUCAGAAAUGCCUUGGUGAUUAUUUUUUGUUAUUUUGUUUUGUUUUGUUUAGAAGGACCACUUAGUGUACCUCUUUAGUGAACAUGAAAAAGAAGAAAAGAACAAGCAACUGAAUGAUCCUCAGAUGGCCUCCAGGCAGUGGAUUGAAGAUGUCUCUUACGUAUAAGCAGGCUAUUGAUAUGUGGUGCCAUCCUUUUUCUGACCCUCUUGGCAGGGGCAGCAGCCAUAGCUGCCAAUCAACCAUGUGAUAAUGAGGAAAAGCAACCAACAUUCUACCAUGUGCUGUGUUGCUAAGCUGUCAUGUUUGGAAUCUUAUCAAUGAAGAACUUUGUAUCCAACAAUAAGAAGCAGGCACAUUGCAAGUGACAUUCUGUAGAAGCCAAAAAAGGACAGCUACAAGAGAGUUAACCAAACACCUGCAUUACAGAUUCUUUGUACAGUCCCUUGGGAACAGUAAAAUUAAAUACGGACCAAAUAUUUUUAAAAGUUUGUGUGGCCCUCAGAAUCAGCCCUUAAGGCAUGCGGAUCUGGCUGAAAAGCCCAUGAGAGUAUUACAGGCAUGGAAAGCCAAAACACUCUGGCAAAAAAACAAACAAACAAACAAACAAACAAAAAACACAACCAACCCACCCUACAUGGAAGAUCUCCGUGAGUGAGAUCCCAGUGAAAAGAACAGGUCAUCAAAGAAGGAGGUACCUUUCUCUGAAGGGAGGAGAGAACUUCCACUUUGACCAUGGCCUUGUCUAAAUAUGAUCAGAGUCAGUGAACUCAGGGGGUUUCCAUAGCCUUGGCAGCUCAUGACAAGAGCCUAGGGUGAUUACUGAUGCCAUAAACAAGAGUGUCAAUUUGUUAAGUCAACAACAGGAGUCACUGUGCACUUACUCCUCAUGUAGGAUCUCUGUCCUUAGUGUGCUGUACAUUGUGAUUUAAUGCUAUAACUAGUGCUCAAACAGUAUUGUUCACUUUGUGUUUCUCUGUGGGAGCAAACUGUUGAAAUCUUUACUUAAUGUAUGCUAAACUGAUCUUCUGUAAAUAAAGAGAAUUGAAAAUGA